UACAGAGACUGCGAGCGUUAUUCGGAUUCACUGGGCGUAAAGGGUGCGCAGGCGGCCAUGUGUGUGAGGCGUGAAAGCCCAGGGCUUAACCCUGGAAUUGCACCUCAAACUACAUGGCUAGAGCAUUGGAGAGGGAAGCGGAAUUCACGGUGUAGCAGUGAAAUGCGCAGAUAUCAGGAGGAACACCGGUGGCGAAGGCGGUUCUCUGGAACGCAAACUGACGCUGAGGCGCGAAAGCUAGGGGAGCAAACAGG
rnacentral:rRNA from 1 species